CUCAUUCUUCCACCUGAUGAGCUCCUCUGCUGGCGCGUCAUGCGCCUCUCGAUCGUUUUCGGCCCUCCCACUCUCCUCCCUCCGCGCGUGCACAGCCGUACACACACGCACGUUGACCAUGUGAAAAUCAAACGAGGAGGGGAGCGCAGCGAGAGACCGACCGGCCGGCGCAGAGGUCACAGCUGUGUUUUGUUGGAUGCUAUUUUGCCCCGGCGUCUCGUCCUCCUCUCUGUCCUCUGCGCGUGUUCUUGUCUUUGCGAUUGCCGUGUGCUAUUCUUAUUUUCUCUGAGCGUUUGCCGCCAGAACGGAAGACGGAGGGCUCACCGAAAGGCGACAGGAGCUCAUACAUGCACGCACACACACCUACACACACACACACACACACUCCGCACCAUUCUGACGUGCAUGCAACACCAAGCACUCAUCUUUUACCCGCUUUCUUCUUCUGCACAUACCCUCUCUCGCGGAAUCAAGUCGUCGUAAGGGUUUGCUUCAACCACGCCGCACUCCCUCUUGGAGUGGCAGCCAGGCCUGCCGAUUCCUGGGUAGCUUUACCCGAUGAGGACUUACAGGCAACAGAAGUCUCGUGGAUCGCUCUGCCAGCGCCAGGGGGGGGGUAUCGAGGGCGCGAAUAAAGAGCUGCAAAGUCGGCAUGCGCUUCCACGGAAAGAGGCAACUCGCCCCGUGAGGCGGAGUUGGGAACAUGCGUUGGAAUGCAUCAUCCUUCCAACCGUUCGACAUCCUUCUCUUUCUUGUAUUAUUGUGCGUUGCCCAUGAGGCGUGCUUCAG
rnacentral:misc_RNA from 1 species